rnacentral:rRNA from 1 species
UGGGGAAUUUUGCACAAUGGGGGAAACCCUGAUGCAGCGACGCCGCGUGAUUUAGAAGGCCUUCGGGUUGUAAAAAUCUUUUCUAUGGGAAGAAAAUGACAGUACCAUAGGAAUAAGGACCGGCUAAUUACGUGCCAGCAGCCGCGGUAAUACGUAAGGUCCGAGCGUUGUCCGGAAUCAUUGGGCGUAAAGGGUACGUAGGCGGGUAAGCAAGUUAGAAGUGAAAUCCUAUAGCUCAACUAUAGUAAGCUUUUAAAACUGCUCAUCUUGAGGUAUGAAAGGGAAAGUGGAAUUCCUAGUGUAGCGGUGAAAUGCGCAUAUAUUAGGAGGAAUACCGGUGGCGAAGGCGACUUUCUGGCCAUAACCUGACGCUGAGGUACGAAAGCGUGGGUAGCAAACAGG